UACGUAGGGAGCAAGCGUUGUCCGGAAUUAUUGGGCGUAAAGAGCGUGUAGGCGGCCAGGUAGGUCCGUUGUGAAAACUCGAGGCUUAACCUCGAGACGUCGAUGGAAACCAUCUGGCUAGAGUCCGGAAGAGGAGAGUGGAAUUCCUGGUGUAGCGGUGAAAUGCGCAGAUAUCAGGAAGAACACCCGUGGCGAAGGCGGCUUUCUGGGACGGUACUGACGCUGAGACGCGAAAGCGUGGGGAGCGAACAGG
rnacentral:rRNA from 1 species